rnacentral:lncRNA from 1 species
UUCAGCAGCAGAGUGACACCAGCAGCCUGCUGAGGCAGACCCAUCUUGGCAAUGGAUAUGACCCCCAAAGUCACCAGAUCACGAGGGCCCCCAUGCUGCUUGGGCCUUGUGCCAGUUGAAGAGGUGGACAGUCCUGACUCCUGCCAAGUGAGUGGAGGAGACUGGUGUCCCCAGCACCCCGUAGGGGCCUACGUAGGACAGGAACCUGGAAUGCAGCUCUCCCCGGGGCCACUGGUGCGUGUGUCUUUUGAAACACCACCUCUCACAAUUUAGGCAGAAGCUGAUAUCCCAGAAAGACUAUAUAUUGUUUUUUUUUU